rnacentral:rRNA from 1 species
UCCUACGGGAGGCAGCAGUGGGGAAUCUUGCACAAUGGGGGCAACCCUGAUGCAGCGACGCCGCGUGAACGAUGAAGCCCUUCGGGGUGUAAAGUUCUUUCGGCAGGAACGAUAAUGACGGUACCUGCAGAAGAAGCUGCGGCUAACUACGUGCCAGCAGCCGCGGUAAUACGUAGGCAGCAAGCGUUGUUCGGAGUUACUGGGCGUAAAGAGUAUGUAGGCGGUUCUGCAAGUUCGGUGUGAAAUCUCCCGGCUUAACUGGGAGGGUGCGCCGAAAACUGCAAGGCUAGAGUGCGGGAGAGGAAAGCGGAAUUCCUGGUGUAGCGGUGAAAUGCGUAGAUAUCAGGAGGAACACCGGCGGUGUAGACGGCUUUCUGGACCGUGACUGACGCUGAGAUACGAAAGCGUGGGGAGCAAACAGGAUUAGAUACCCCGGUAGC